rnacentral:rRNA from 1 species
AACGAACGCUGGCGGCGUGGAUAAGACAUGCAAGUCGAGCGCUGAUUUGAAGGUAGCAAUAUUUUCAAGUCGGAGCGGCGCAAGGGUGCGUAACACGUGGGAAUCUGCCUUGAAGUGUGGGAUAACUCCGAGAAAUCGGAGCUAAUACCGCAUGUGAUCGUGAGAUCAAAGUUGGGGAUCGCAUGACCUGACGCUUCAAGAUGAGCCCGCGGCCUAUCAGCUAGUUGGUGAGGUAAUGGCUCACCAAGGCUAAGACGGGUAGCUGGUCUGAGAGGACGACCAGCCACACUGGAACUGAGACACGGUCCAGACACCUACGGGUGGCAGCAGUCGAGAAUUUUUCACAAUGGGCGAAAGCCUGAUGGAGCGACGCCGCGUGGGGGAUGAAUGGCUUCGGCCCGUAAACCCCUGUCAUUUGCGAACAAAUUGGUUCACCUAACACGUAAACCAUUGAUUGUAGCGGAAGAGGAAGGGACGGCUAACUCUGUGCCAGCAGCCGCGGUAACAC